rnacentral:rRNA from 1 species
ACCAGACUCCUACGGGAGGCAGCAGUGGGGAAUAUUGCACAAUGGGCGAAAGCCUGAUGCAGCGACGCCGCGUGAAGGAUGAAGUAUUUCGGUAUGUAAACUUCUCUCAGCAGGGAAGAAAAUGACGGUACCUGACUAAGAAGCCCCGGCUAACUACGUGCCAGCAGCCGCGGUAAUACGUAGGGGGCAAGCGUUAUCCGGAAUUACUGGGUGUAAAGGGAGCGUAGACGGUGAAGUAAGUCUGGAGUGAAAGGCGGGGGCCCAACCCCCGGACUGCUCUGGAAACUAUUUGACUGGAGUGCAGGAGAGGUAAGCGGAAUUCCGUGUGUAGCGGUGAAAUGCGUAGAUAUACGGAGGAACACCAGUGGCGAAGGCGGAUUGCUGGACAGUAACUGACGCUGAGGCGCGAAAGCGUGGGGAGCAAACAGGAUUAGAUACCCUAGUA